rnacentral:rRNA from 1 species
AUGGAUCUGCCUCCCUGCACCCUGCUGGGCCGAGCAGAAGAUGUCGUCGAUGUUGUCGUGUCGUGGGAGAACGACACCAAGCACAAGGCGGCCCUUGACGUGAAGCUCAGAACACAAGAGGAUAAAACGGAGAAAAUUGCAGAGUGGGCAAAUAAGACGUGGUGGAAGGAGCCAGGUUCCGGGAGAGGUGAGGGCUGCCGCGGAGGAAAGCCGGCGGGAGGAGAUUACCAGGUUCUGGGAGACAGCUGCGAGGCACAGGUCCAAAGAGACCAUGCCCACGGAAAAAAUUGGUCGGCUACUUCGGCUGAACAGCCAACACGCACAUAG